AGCGAACGCUGGCGGCAGGCCUAACACAUGCAAGUCGAACGAACUCUUCGGAGUUAGUGGCGGACGGGUGAGUAACACGUGGGAACGUGCCUUUAGGUUCGGAAUAACUCAGGGAAACUUGUGCUAAUACCGAAUGUGCCCUUCUGGGGAAAGAUUUAUCGCCUUUAGAGCGGCCCGCGUCUGAUUAGCUAGUUGGUGAGGUAAAGGCUCACCAAGGCGACGAUCAGUAGCUGGGUUGAGAGGAUGAUCAGCCACAUUGGGACUGAGACACGGCCCAAACUCCUACGGGAGGCAGCAGUGGGGAAUCUUGCGCAAUGGGGGAAAGCCUGACGCAGCCAUGCCGCGUGAAUGAUGAAGGUCUUAGGAUUGUAAAAUUCUUUCACCGGGGACGAUAAUGACGGUACCCGGAGAAGAAGCCCCGGCUAACUUCGUG
rnacentral:rRNA from 1 species